rnacentral:tRNA from 1 species
AUAUAUAUAGUUUAAAUAAAAUAUUGAUUUGUGGAGUCAAAGAUUUAAUAUAAUUAAUUUAUAUA